GCCUGGGUGGCUCAGUUGGUUAAGCAUCUGACUUUGGCUCAGGUCACGAUCUCCAGGUUCUUGAGUUCAAGCCCCGCCUCAGGCU
rnacentral:tRNA from 1 species